rnacentral:rRNA from 1 species
AUGAACGCUGGCGGCGUGCCUAAUACAUGCAAGUCGAGCGAACAGACGAGGAGCUUGCUCCUCUGACGUUAGCGGCGGACGGGUGAGUAACACGUGGAUAACCUACCUAUAAGACUGGGAUAACUUCGGGAAACCGGAGCUAAUACCGGAUAAUAUAUUGAACCGCAUGGUUCAAUAGUGAAAGACGGUUUUGCUGUCACUUAUAGAUGGAUCCGCGCCGCAUUAGCUAGUUGGUAAGGUAACGGCUUACCAAGGCAACGAUGCGUAGCCGACCUGAGAGGGUGAUCGGCCACACUGGAACUGAGACACGGUCCAGACUCCUACGGGAGGCAGCAGUAGGGAAUCUUCCGCAAUGGGCGAAAGCCUGACGGAGCAACGCCGCGUGAGUGAUGAAGGUCUUCGGAUCGUAAAACUCUGUUAUUAGGGAAGAACAAAUGUGUAAGUAACUAUGCACGUCUUGACGGUACCUAAUCAGAAAGCCACGGCUAGCUACGUG